rnacentral:lncRNA from 1 species
CAGAAACUCAAGCAAGGCAGAAGGCUGGAGGCAGAAUUUGUGUAUGUGCACACAUAUUGGGGGUGGCAUACAUACCACGUCACAUAUGUGGAGUUCAGAGAACAAUUACAGUGUCAGUUUUAAGAAUCAAAUUCAAGUUGCCAGCUUGUUUGGCAAUGCUUUGACCACUAGCCCAUCUCACUACGCCCCCUAUUUUGAAUUUUUAAGAGUUAGUGACCACUAACACGAUCUUCCUCAAUUUCCUCUGUAGAAAAUUAUGGCUACAGUGUAAAGAUCUUAGACUAUAUCAACUGGAAAUUCAUUCAAAAAUUCAAAACUGUUCCUCCACUUCCUCACCCUCCCUACAUCUCCAGACCAAAACCUCCCAGUCAUGAGGCAAACGGAUAAAUACACCCACGCCUGGGACCUUGUGGUCAGUCUUGAAUAUUUAUUCAGGUUUCUUUCGAUGCCAGCAAUCUAUAUACCACAAUCUAUACCCCACAUUUCUUCAUUUUCAAAAACAAAGCUCUCUUCUGCAGAUGAUUCAGCAAGCCUCAUAAUUCAGGAAACAAAGGAGAAGGGUGAUAUGCCUUUAAAAAGGACAGACCUCUCCCCAUCCCCCGUCAAGAGAAUCCCUGCCAGAAAGAGAAUACCACAACUACCAACUACCAACCCACUUCCCCUACUCUUCGCAUCCCAGCAGUAAGAAAAGCCAGACGUUUAUCUGGACAUAAAACUGGCCUUGCCUGAGAAAGUAUGAAAAUCGGAGACAAGAGAGGAAAUGCUGCAGACAAUAGCAGAAGCUGCACAGUUCAUAAACUCUCAACUUCAAGCCACACCCAUUGGUGGAAUCUGGUGCCAGUAAGCAGACAGUGCUCUUAGCACCUCGACUCACCGGGGACAGAAAGAGAAAAGUUGUCUUGACAAAGGAGGAGGGAAGCACGGUCUGAGGACAACAGAAGAGGUCAUGCCAGGAACAGACUUCAGCAUGGGAAGCAGCCCUAGCUAGAGCUGAGUCAGUCCCUGGUUUUUUCCUAUUUGUGCAGUUCACUCACUGAGACAAAUCAGCCCCAGGUGGGUUGAACUCUAAUUUGCCUCUACCUGGAACUCGUAAAUGGGUCAGCACUCUACCAUGUCACUUCUUUUCACAUGGCACUAAGAAGUUAGUCUUCAUUUUCAAGGUGAAGUUCCCCACCCUCCCCUUUUAUUUCCCACAUCAAAGGAACACUGUACUGGUACACUUGAAUUUGAAUCUACUUAAAUGCCAUUUUAAUGGACUGUUCAAACUCUGUAAAUACUUCCUUCCCUAUGUUUUAGACUAAAGUAGACUGAAGUAUAAAUGAACAGAAUGUCACUGUAUGCAACACCAGCAAAGCUUCAGCUCUACAGGUGCCUAGCAUGCAUGAGGUUCAACUGCCAACAUACAAACAUUGA